rnacentral:rRNA from 1 species
GAUUAACGCUAGCGGCAGGCCUAAUACAUGCAAGUCGAACGGCAGCACGGGUAGCAAUACCUGGUGGCGAGUGGCGCACGGGUGCGUAACGCGUAUGCAACCUACCUAUAACUGGGGAAUAGCCUUCUGAAAGGAAGAUUAACACCGCAUAAUAUCACGAGACGGCAUCGCCUUGUGAUCAAAUCUCCGGAGGUUAUAGAUGGGCAUGCGUGACAUUAGCUAGUUGGUGAGGUAACGGCUCACCAAGGCUACGAUGUCUAGGGGGUCUGAGAGGAUGAUCCCCCACACUGGUACUGAGACACGGACCAGACUCCUACGGGAGGCAGCAGUAAGGAAUAUUGGACAAUGGGCGCAAGCCUGAUCCAGCCAUGCCGCGUGAAGGAUGACGGCCCUCUGGGUUGUAAACUUCUUUUAUACGGGAAUAAACCCCUCGAUUCUUCGGGGGCUGAAUGUACUGUAAGAAUAAGGAUCGGCUAACUUCGUGCCAGCCGCCGCAGUAAGAC